rnacentral:lncRNA from 1 species
GACCCUCAACAAAACAACAACCAAACUACAGCAACAAAACCCCACCGGUCAAGUAGGUCAUUGGUGUCUGCUGGUCUCAAGCUCUUGUUCCAGCCUGUCCCAGCCUCCAGCAGGUACAACUCUCUAGGAGAGCCACAGCUGGCCAGGACCAGACAGGACCACUCUGUGUGGUAGUCCUAAGUUAGAGGACAUUCGGGGAACUUGUUUCCAUGGUUUUGUUCCCUUCUCGUUAUGAAAGGGCUUUUGCUUUGCCCGGCCUUUGUUUGGGGAGUUCAACUAAUAAAGGGGCCAUUUUGCUGGAAUGAAUUACUGAUGAAAGUCCUGCUGGGAUCGGCAGGAGGACGGCCCUCUGGCUUCACUUCAGCAAGGCCGUCAAGACUGUGAAGUCUGCUGUGGGAUUCGAAGAGGUACAGUACCAUCCAAUGCUCCAGGAAGCUCCAUUCACUUGCUUUAAGUUAAAACAGUAGAGAAGUCAAUAUUUUAGCAAACCUAAGAUUAUGAGUUUGGCCCCUUUUGUGUCUUCAACGAUCCAAGGUUAAGCAAUAUUGCACCAGUUAAGCAAAAAAUAAAUCAUGACACCUCAAGAAAG